rnacentral:lncRNA from 1 species
GGACUUCCUAAAGCCAGUCCAGGAGCACAGUUUUUACCUGUUCAGUGGCACAUAUCUGUGAUUGAAACUCUGUUUUUGCAUCUUUAACCACUGAAGGAAGAAUGCAGCAGACUGCUCGACAAACACUGCGCCAAGAGCUCCUCAGCAGAAGCUCCUCGCAUCAGAUCCUCUGUGCUGGGAAUCCUCCCCUCUUGAGCACACUCUGUGCUCCUCUUCCAGUUACGGUGCAUGUGAAGCAAUGGUAUGGGAAAAUUGUUUGCAGAAGGAUGAAAAGGCUUUAUUGCCAAACUAAAUCAUCUGAUCCCCUUUGCUGCUAAGUGAGUUGAAAAGCGAAAGCGUCUGAAUCCCACCAGCAUCGCUGGAUGUGUCAUCCACUGAGCCUUCAUCUCCCAUGAACUUGACUUUUAACCAAUUUGCUAGAAUUCUACAGAUUUAAAAAAAACAAAAAACAAAAAAAACACUUGAAGAAUCUAAUUCUAUAUUUGAAUUAUAAAGACUUUCAGGAAAAGAAGAAAGAAAAAUAUCACACAGACCUAGGUCCACAAAUACCACAUCUUACUAUGAAGCUGAUCUGUAAUCCCAGCACCUUGGGAGGCCAAGGCAGGUGGAUCGCUUGAGCCCAGUUUGAGACCAGCCUGGGCAACAUCACAAAACCCUGUCUCUACAAAAUAUAUACAAAACUAAGCUGGGCGUGGUGGUGUGCGCCUGUAAUCCCAGCUACUUGGGAGGCUGAGGCAGGAAAAUUGCUUGAACCUGAGAGGUGGAGGUUGCAGUGAACAAAGUGUACCACACGCCAGCCUGGGCGACAGAGUGAGACUCCAUCUAAAAAAAAAAAAAAGAAUACAGGCUUUCUAAGUGAAAAGGUGUUCUGGAAUUAUUAACAGUGAUGGUUGCAAAACCCUGUGAAUAUAUCUAAAAAUCACUGAAAUGUACACUUUAAAUGGGUGAAGUUUAUGGUAUGUGAAUAACAUUUCAAUAAAGCUAUUUUAAAAA